GUGGGGAAUAUUGGACAAUGGGCGAAAGCCUGAUCCAGCCAUGCCGCGUGUGUGAAGAAGGUCUUCGGAUUGUAAAGCACUUUAAGUUGGGAGGAAGGGCAGUAAGUUAAUACCUUGCUGUUUUGACGUUACCGACAGAAUAAGCACCGGCUAACUUCGUGCCAGCAGCCGCGGUAAUACGAAGGGUGCAAGCGUUAAUCGGAAUUACUGGGCGUAAAGCGCGCGUAGGUGGUUUUGUAAGUUGGAGGUGAAAUCCCCGGGCUCAACCUGGGAACUGCCUCCAAAACUGCAUGACUAGAGUACGGUAGAGGGUAGUAGAAUUUCCUGUGUAGCGGUGAAAUGCGUAGAUAUAGGAAGGAACACCAGUGGCGAAGGCGACUACCUGGACUGAUACUGACACUGAGGUGCGAAAGCGUGGGGAGCAAACAGGAUUAGAAACCCCGGUAGUCC
rnacentral:rRNA from 1 species